rnacentral:rRNA from 2 species
CUGAAAUCAGGCGGGAU